GACGAACGCUGGCGGCGUGCUUAACACAUGCAAGUCGAACGGAAAGGCCCUGCUUUUGUGGGGUGCUCGAGUGGCGAACGGGUGAGUAACACGUGAGUAACCUGCCCUUGACUUUGGGAUAACUUCAGGAAACUGGGGCUAAUACCGGAUAGGAGCUCCUGCUGCAUGGUGGGGGUUGGAAAGUUUCGGCGGUUGGGGAUGGACUCGCGGCUUAUCCGCUUGUUGGUGGGGUAGUGGCUUACCAAGGCUUUGACGGGUAGCCGGCCUGAGAGGGUGACCGGCCACAGUGGGACUGAGAUACGGCGCAGACUCCUACGGGAGGCAGCAGUGGGGAAUAUUGCACAAUGGGCGGAAGCCUGAUGCAGCAACGCCGCGUGCGGGAUGGCGGCCUUCGGGUUGUAAACCGCUUUCGCCUGUGACGAAGCGUGAGUGACGGUAAUGGGUAAAGAAGCACCGGCUAACUACGUG
rnacentral:rRNA from 1 species